CUUAGUUAUUAUGUUCCACGUUAAUAAUCUUGUUUUCAUAGUUAUAUUAAACAACUUUUUCUCAACGAAUCUGUUGGUUAUGUAACGAAACGAUAUCUCAUUAAGCACGAUAUAUCGAUAAUGAUGUUAUCGAUGUGUAGUGAUGCUUAAAUGUUCACCAAGUAUCGAAAUUUAAAACACAUUUGAACAUUUUAUAAAUAUAUUUCAAAACUCAAAAUAUGCAUUGCCCAAGUGAACUGCAAACUAAAAAUAUUGUGAAUGUGGAAUUCUAAGGAUAAUACAAAAAUUUGAGCCUGAACAAUAUGGAUAUAAUAUAAAUAAUUAUUAAAUAAACUUUACAUUUACAUUCAACGCGAAAAUUAAAAAAAGUCUGUUUACUUAGACGAUCAAGAAUAAUAUCACUAAAA